ACGGGUGCGUAACACGUGGGUAACCUGCCCCUAUCACUGGGAUAACACACUGAAAAGUGUGCUAAUACCAGAUAACAUAAGCUUUUGGCAUCAUUAGCUUAUCAAAGAAUUUCGGAUAGGGAUGGGCCCGCGUCUGAUUAGCUUGUUGGUGAGGUAACGGCUCACCAAGGCAACGAUCAGUAGCCGACCUGAGAGGGUGAUCGGCCACACUGGAACUGAGACACGGUCCAGACUCCUACGGGAGGCAGCAGUGGGGAAUAUUGCACAAUGGGCGAAAGCCUGAUGCAGCAACGCCGCGUGAGCGAUGAAGGCCUUCGGGUCGUAAAGCUCUGUCCUAUGGGAAGAUAAUGACGGUACCAUAGGAGGAAGCCCCGGCUAACUACGUGCCAGCAGCCGCGGUAAUACGUAGGGGGCAAGCGUUAUCCGGAAUUACUGGGCGUAAAGGGUGCGUAGGCGGUUUAUCAAGUCAGGGGUGAAAGGCUACGGCUCAACCGUAGUGAGCCUCUGAAACUGGUGAACUUGAGUGUAGGAGAGGAAAGUGGAAUUCCCAGUGUAGCGGUGAAAUGCGUAGAUAUUGGGAGGAACACCAGUGGCGAAGGCGACUUUCUGGGACUACAACUGACGCUGAGGCACGAAAGCGUGGGGAGCAAACA
rnacentral:rRNA from 1 species